CCUACGGGUGGCAGCAGUGGGGGAUAUUGCACAAUGGGGGGAACCCUGAUGCAGCGACGCCGCGUGGGUGAAGAAGCGCCUCGGCGCGUAAAGCCCUGUCAGCAGGGAAGAAAAUGACGGUACCUGAAGAAGAAGCCCCGGCUAACUACGUGCCAGCAGCCGCGGUAAUACGUAGGGGGCAAGCGUUAUCCGGAUUUACUGGGUGUAAAGGGGGCGCAGACGGCGAGGCAAGCCAGGAGUGAAAGCCCGGGGGCCAACCCCGGGACUGCUCUUGGAACUGCGUGGCUGGAGUGCAGGAGGGGCAGGCGGAAUUCCUGGUGUAGCGGUGAAAUGCGUAGAUAUCAGGAGGAACACCGGUGGCGAAGGCGGCCUGCUGGACUGCAACUGACGUUGAGGCCCGAAAGCGUGGGGAGCAAACAGGAUUAGAUACCCUUGUAGUC
rnacentral:rRNA from 1 species